rnacentral:rRNA from 1 species
AGAGUUUGAUCCUGGCUCAGGAUAAACGCUGGCGGCGCACAUAAGACAUGCAAGUCGAACGGACUUAACCGAAAUGUUUACAUUUUGGAGCGGUUAGUGGCGGACUGGUGAGUAACACGUAAGCAACCUGCCUAUUAGAGGGGAAUAACAGUGAGAAAUCAUUGCUAAUACCGCAUAUGCCAUAAUCACCACAUGGUGAUAGUGGGAAAGGAGUAAUCCGCUAAUAGAUGGGCUUGCGUCUGAUUAGAUAGUUGGUGGGGUAACGGCCUACCAAGUCGACGAUCAGUAGCCGGACUGAGAGGUUGAACGGCCACAUUGGGACUGAGAUACGGCCCAGACUCCUACGGGAGGCAGCAGUCGGGAAUAUUGCACAAUGGAGGAAACUCUGAUGCAGUGACGCCGCGUGCAGGAAGAAGGUUUUCGGAUUGUAAACUGCUUUAGAUAGGGAAGAUAAAAGACUGUACCUAUAGAAUAAGCUCCGGCUAACUACGUGCCAGCAGCCGCGGUAAUACGUAGGGAGCAAGCGUUAUCCGGAUUUAUUGGGUGUAAAGGGUGCGUAGACGGGCUAACAAGUUAGUUGUGAAAUCCCUCGGCUCAACUGAGGAACUGCAACUAAAACUAUUAGUCUUGAGUGCGGGAGAGGAAAGUGGAAUUCCUAGUGUAGCGGUGAAAUGCGUAGAUAUUAGGAGGAACACCAGUGGCGAAGGCGACUUUCUGGACCGUAACUGACGUUGAGGCACGAAAGUGUGGGGAGCAAACAGGAUUAGAUACCCUGGUAGUCCACACUGUAAACGAUGGAUACUAGGUGUAGGGGGUAUUAAGCCUUCUGUGCCGUCGCAAACGCAGUAAGUAUCCCACCUGGGGAGUACGACCGCAAGGUUGAAACUCAAAGGAAUUGACGGGGGCCCGCACAAGCAGUGGAGUAUGUGGUUUAAUUCGAAGCAACGCGAAGAACCUUACCAGGGCUUGACAUAUACAGGAAUAUAUAAGAGAUUAUAUAGCUCUUCGGAGCCUGUAUACAGGUGGUGCAUGGUUGUCGUCAGCUCGUGUCGUGAGAUGUUGGGUUAAGUCCCGCAACGAGCGCAACCCCUGUUUCUAGUUGCCAGCGAGUAAUGUCGGGAACUCUAGAGAGACUGCCGGUGAUAAAUCGGAGGAAGGUGGGGACGACGUCAAAUCAUCAUGCCCUUUAUGUCCUGGGCUACACACGUACUACAAUGGCUAUAACAAAGAGAAGCGAAGCAGUGAUGUGGAGCGAAACUCAAAAAAAUAGUCUCAGUUCGGAUUGAAGGCUGAAAUUCGCCUUCAUGAAGCCGGAAUUGCUAGUAAUGGCAGGUCAGCAUACUGCCGUGAAUACGUUCCCGGGCCUUGUACACACCGCCCGUCACACCAUGAGAGUUGGGAAUACCCGAAGCCUGUGAGCUAACAUUACGAGGCAGCAGUCGAAGGUAGAAUCAAUGAUUGGGGUGAAGUCGUAACAAGGUAACC